CAACGCAGACAAAUGGGAGAAUUAGACAACAUCAAAACAUUCCUUCCCAACAGUCUUGACAUGGUUCCACAUACAUACAACAGUAUAGUUUUAAAAGAGUUCAUGAAGGCAAAUGACAGUUCGAUAUGUUGACCUUAUCUUUGCAUGCUUUUUUUUUUCUGUCUUCCAUUUAGUUUGUGGUAAGACGGUGGAUGUGAGCUCGCUGCCGGACCAAAGAGUGUGACAGACUGCGAGCGAGGGCGGAAAACACGUGCCACGGAAGGGGAGGCAAAAGAGCAUUAUCAGCACUUUCUCCGAGAGGAAAGCAGAUGGAGAAUGCUGGAGCUUUUCGUAUGACUCCAAGCAACAUGCAAGAACGUCACUUCUCCCACACCGUAGGUGUCGGUAAUGCGCCUUCAAGCUGGUGCCACCCCACCUCGCCGGAAAAACAAAACGAAGAAGAAGAAUGACGUAACUGCUCCUUCACCGACGAGUCAGCGCAGGUCUCUUACCGGUUCAUCUUUAUCAUAUUUACCAGGGAGGUGCGGUCAGAUGAGGCAAGGGAUCCGUUUGCUGUUCCAUUCUUCCUUCACCAUACUGAUGGAAUCAAAUCGAGAUUUGAAUUCUAUGCUCCUCACGUCUGCAAGUGCGCUAUAGUAUGGUCGUCGUUAGGUUUCAUUAUCAUCUUUAAGGUCUGCAGGCGCAAAGCAUGAAAUGUCGCUAGUGACGCUGUAGGGCGACGUUAUAAAUGUAUAUCUUUUAUGCAAUUUUGACCUUUUUGUUAACAUGCACGUUAUACUGGAGCUCAUUAUUGCUGAAUACUACCAAUAGUUUGAGAUUGAAAGUGACAACCAAAUUGGCUUUGGUUGUUGACCUUGAUGUUUUCAUUUUGCAUUUGUUGGAUUGUAGUUGAUGGUGUUAUUAUAUUCAAUAUGUUUGUGUUGGAAUAAA